GGUUAAAUGGCUGAGAAUUAGGCGGUAAAUUGUAAAUUUACAGACGGAGAGCUCUCCUUUGACCA
rnacentral:tRNA from 1 species